CUUUUCUGUAGUGAUUUGCUCUUCUUAUCUCCCUCCUUUGCUAAUUUGAGCCUGUCACUGUCUUCUUCACCGGGUCAGGAGAGAAAAGAUCAGUGAGAGAAUGAAGCUUCUCCAAAAUCUUGUGCCAGGUUGCAACAAGGUGGCAGGCAAGGCUAUUAUGCUCGAUGAGAUCAUCAACUACGUGCAGUGCUUGCAGUGGCAAGUUGAGGUGAGACCCUUGCUAUAGAUAGCAAUGGAAGAU